rnacentral:rRNA from 1 species
UACGUAGGGUGCGAGCGUUAAUCGGAAUCACUGGGCGUAAAGGGUGCGUAGGCGGGUCUUUAAGUCAGGGGUGAAAUCCCGGAGCUCAACUCCAGAACUGCCUUUGAUACUGAAGAUCUUGAGUCCGGGAGAGGUGAGUGGAACUGCGAGUGUAGAGGUGAAAUUCGUAGAUAUUCGCAAGAACACCAGUGGCGAAGGCGGCUCACUGGCCCGGUACUGACGCUGAGGCACGAAAGCGUGGGGAGCAAACAGG